CCUGCCACUAUACCUGUCCAUCCCUGUGGCUGAGUAUGAUCCAGUGGAGGCUCAGAGCGACCCGGCUUUAGGAAACAGGGCUGCCCACACUGAUGGACCGCCCUGUGCCGAAAAGUCCGGAACAUUA